UACGGAGGGUGCAAGCGUUAUCCGGAUUUACUGGGCGUAAAGCGUGCGCAGGCGGCUUUGCAAGACAGAUGUGAAAUCCCCGGGCUUAACCUGGGAACUGCAUUUGUGACUGCAUGGCUAGAGUGCGGCAGAGGGGGAUGGAAUUCCGCGUGUAGCAGUGAAAUGCGUAGAUAUGCGGAGGAACACCGAUGGCGAAGGCAAUCCCCUGGGCCUGCACUGACGCUCAUGCACGAAAGCGUGGGGAGCAAACAGG
rnacentral:rRNA from 1 species